UCCGGUUUGUCACCGGCAGUCUCAUUAGAGUGCCCAACUGAAUGUAGCAACUAGAGGCAAGGGUUGCGCUCGUUGCGGGACUUAACCCAACAUCUCACGACACGAGCUGACGACAGCCAUGCAGCACCUGUGUCCAGGCUCCCUUUCGGGCACCCUCCCGUCUCUGGGAGGUUCCUGGCAUGUCAAGGGUAGGUAAGGUUUUUCGCGUUGCAUCGAAUUAAGCAACAUAAUCCACCGCUUGUGCGGGUCCCCGUCAAUUCCUUUGAGUUUUAACCUUGCGGCCGUACUCCCCAGGCGGUCAACUUCACGCGUUAGCUUCGUUACCAAGGAAUUACUUCCCCGACAACCAGUUGACAUCGUUUAGGGCGUGGACUAC
rnacentral:misc_RNA from 1 species